AUUGAACGCUGGCGGCAGGCCUAACACAUGCAAGUCGAGCGAGCGGCGGACGGGUGAGUAAUGUAUGGGGACUGCCCGAUCGAGGGGGAUAACUACUGUAAACGUUGGCUAAUACCGCAUACUAUCGGAUAACCCAUAUGGGAUUAGCUAGUAGGUGGGGUAAAGGCUCACCUAGGCGACGAUCUAUAGCUGGGCUGAGAGGAUGAUCAGCCACACUGGGACUGAGACACGGCCCAGACUCCUACGGAGGCAGCAGUGGGGAAUAUUGGACAAUGGGCGCAAGCCUGAUGCAGCCACGCCGCGUGAAUGAAGAAGGCUUUCGGGUUGUAAAGUACUGUCAGUGAGGAGGCGUUAUUCGCAGAAGAAGCACCGGCUAACUCCGUGCCAGCAGCCGCGGUAAUUC
rnacentral:rRNA from 1 species